GCAGGAAAGAAAAAAGAAGAAAACAAACCUCCAUACGAGAAUGGGUCUAAAGGAACUUCCCAAACCUCCAUGAUUUUGCAGGAAACAAGAUAAAGAGCUACAGGCAGGAGGAUCACUUGAGGCCAGGAGUUAGAGAACAGUCCGGGCAACACAGUGAGACACCCCCCACUACAAAAAACAAGAAGACCCCUCUUUUUACCCCUAACUGAGAGGCGUGACUAGAAGGCAGAAAGCUGGCUGUUGAGGUGGGAGUCUCUCUCUUCAGGCAGAGGUAGGGCCGCUUCCUGGGGCAGAGGCGUGGGUGGUGUGUCUGGCUCUGCAGUUCCUGAUGAAGACAUACUGGGGUGCCCAGGCUAACCUUUGGCAAAACUAGGAGCUGAACUCAGGAGUCCCUGAUGCCAGCCUUUCUGAUGCGGUCCCCCCUCCCCUCCCCCAUGUGUCUCGCUCCAUAGCUCCAGGCCAGGAGCCCCAACUGGCUGGUGGAGGAUGUCUUGCUCCUCAGCAGCUGGGAUUUGUAAGUAUUUGUAGGAACAUGGAACAGAUCAGUGGCUGACAGGCCCAGGAAGCAGACAGUCCCCUUCCCAUAGGUCACCAGCUUCACUUCCCCUUCCUGCACCCCAUCCUGAUUUGA
rnacentral:lncRNA from 1 species